GGUUCCUGGGCCCCCUGGGGGUCGGUGGACUGUCUCCCCGGUACAAAGGCGCCGGCACCUUCCGGGGCCCGUCACCCCAGGGGUGGUUUCUGUGCCCGCCCUGGGAGGGUGGCGUUUUGUAGUUCACGUAAACGUGCACUUGGUCUCCCCGCGUGCCUCCCCCGGGACACGCCCCCACCUGCCCGGGCUCCUCCAUGUGUCCUGGGCCCCAGCAGGACUGAGCCCCGGGGCCGGAGCAGGAGUCCACGUCGGGACCAGGGAGGGGGUCCCUCCUCCCUCUCCCUCCUCCUCUGUCCCCACCCGCUUCUCAGCCCCCCCCAGCAAACAUGCACUUGGACCCCAGAUCAGGCCUGUGGCCAGGCCAGCCCACGGCACGGCCAAGCGCCCUCCUGGGCCCGGCUCAGCGACCUCUCCCCAGCGUCCACGUCGGACCCCCCAGGACGAUCACAUAUCCCACCCGUGUGGCCUGAGUAGGUGGGUGCAUGGGGACCGAGAGGGACUCAGCUGCCCACACCCACAGCCAGGAGGGGUCACCACCUGCCUGCCUGGUUCGUGUCCCAGCCUGGCCCUGACGUUGCUCCCACCUCACACUGUGAGGAGAAAGGCCCCCUGCAGGGGUGAGGCCCCCUCCGUGGGUCAGGGCGGAGGUCGCGGGGCCUGGCCACCCUCCCAGGGAUGCCGCGGCUUGUCCCCUGAGGAGAGAGAACAGGUGUGAGUCCAAACUGUCCUGAUAUCAGGCCUCAGGUACAUGGGAGGGUGAUGGGGCCGGGGAGACACUUCCCGGGUGUCCCCGACCGACAGGCACCCAGCCCAGCGCCCGCCAGGGUCAAGGCCACUCCUGACGCCAAGGGAGGGCUCUCACGUUUAGGCGGUGGGACGUGCAAAGGAGUUGCUAGUUAAUGCUGUCGGCGGGUGUCCUGGAAAAUUUGGGAACGGUUUGACCGAGGUCGGCUCUAAUGACAUUCCUGAGGCGCAGGGCAAGGACGAGAGGCUGCGGUCGCACGAAGGACAUGGUGACAUUUCCGUGCAGAGUGAACCCUCCAGCCGCCAGCCUGUGCCCUGGGAGCCCCCGGGUGAAGGCCAGCUGGCUCCCGAGGAUGGUGGGCUGUGUGUGUGCGAGCACACGUGUGCGUGUGUGAGUGGGGGGUGUGAGCAUGUGUCAGCGCGAGCGUGAGCACAGUGUGUGAGUGGGGGGGUGAGUGUGUGAGUGUGAACGUGAGUGUGAGUGGGGGUGUGAGCGUGAGCUCAGUGUGCGUGUGUGAGUGGGGGCUGUGAGCGUGCGUGUGAGUACAUGCACAUUUAUGAGUUCAGGGGUGUAUGAGGAUAUGAGCAUGGGCAUGAGUGCGUACGUGUGUGUUUGUGAAACGUGAGUGUGAGCACACGCGUGCAUCUGUGAGAGUCUUGUCCCCAGCAGGUGUGUCCAUCCCAGCCGUCUCCCUGCCCCACGUGUGACGCCGGCGUCACGGACCUGCCAGCACGAUGCCGGGCACCUGCGAUACCGCGUGGCACCACCCACGGCAGCCGGAGCGGGACCCGCCUCACCACACACCUCGUGGGCGCAGAAGGAGGCCCGGCCCCGGGGGUGGGGGGCGCCCGGCGUCCUCCUCAGUGUAGACGGCCUCUUCGGUGACGGAAAAUGGAGCCGACG
rnacentral:lncRNA from 1 species